UUAAACCAGGGAUUCUAGUAUGAUAUUUAUCGCUUCUUAAAACUAUUGUCAAAGCUAGACAUUUGCUUGAAGAAUUAUGAAGAAAUUUGGAACUCAUUUUCCAACAUAACUGUUGAAAUAAAAAAGAAAAUGUCAGGAAAUUGCAAUUUUAUUUAUUUUCUUGAUAAGAACUUGAAUUUCAUUGGUGAAAUUGAGGAAGCAUGUCCAUCUUCAUUUAUUCUUUGUUUAAUGGUGCUAGUGUUAGUUCAAUAUAUUCGAAUUGGGAUACAUUCAGGACGAGUGGACAUUAGAUUGUGCUGAGGCAGGGGAGCUAGAGGACAGAGCACAUUAUCGGUAGGCCGGUGAAAGCAGUGUACCUGAAACUUAUGAUACAAAUGACGAGGUCUCCCUUUGCUCUCUUAACCUUUCAUUUUAAAUCAACGUUUUCAGUAGAACAAUUAUGUGUGCUCUUUUCAUUCUUUUUGAAACUGUUCGGAGCUGAGUUCUAUUCUCGGUCUCAAGUAUGCUGUUAAAGUUAUUUCAGUACUAUUUAGGCUUAAGUGCUUGAUGUAGAUGAAUAUGGAUAUAAUAUUAUCCUAGAAAUUAUUGUUAUCUUUAGUUAGUAUCUGAUUUUAUUUGAAGUUCUCAGAGUAAGUUUUGUUUUUAGUAAUAAUUGUCUGUCUAUAAAUUAAUUUAUCUUAAAGAAUCUCCUCCAAAUGAUUUGAAGAACCUUAUGAACAGGUAAUACAUUUGAAACUCAUUUUAGAAUAUAAUAUGGUUUGAUAUGGAAAUAAAAAAUUAAUAUGCUCUUCAUAUUGGUGUAUAUAUAGUGUCUCUUCACACAUUAAGCGAAAGAUCGAAAGGAAUGAAAAAAUUUCAAGUGGAAAAUAGUCAAUUGCCCUCGUCAAACAUCGUCAGUAGAGUGCGGCUUUUAUAUCAUAAGGAUGAUGAAAGAUUAUUGCUUGAAUGAGAUACACAUGCGAUGGCUAACUAGUAAUUGUGGUGGGAAGAAUACAUAUACACUAGGUGAAAUUAAUGAAACUCGAAAUGAAUGGGCAGCCAAGCUUCUUGAGCGGAUGAGUCAUAGCUAGAGUAAUUUUUUAAAUCUGAAUUAAAAAAUAUACUAAUUGCAGUAUUUAGUUAGCACUUACAUAGUUAUUCUAAGUGUAUAUUUUGAUUUUGUAAUUUUUAAAUUUGGAACA